GAUGAAGAACGCAGCGAAAUGCGAUACGUAAUGUGAAUUGCAAAUUCAGUGAAUCAUCGAGUCUUUGAACGCACAUUGCGCCCCCUGGUAUUCCGGGGGGCAUGCCUGUCCGAGCGUCAUUGCUGCCCUCAAGCACGGCUUGUGUGUUGGGCCCCGUCCUCCGAUCCCGGGGGACGGGCCCGAAAGGCAGCGGCGGCACCGCGUCCGGUCCUCGAGCGUAUGGGGCUUUGUCACCCGCUCUGUAGGCCCGGCGGGCGCUUGCCGAUCAACCCAAAUGUUUAUCCAGGUUGACCUCGGAUCAGGUAGGGAUACCCGCUGAACUUAAGCAUAUCAAUAAGCGGAGGA
rnacentral:misc_RNA from 1 species